rnacentral:hammerhead_ribozyme from 1 species
AGUUAGCUGACGAGUCCCUAAUAGGAGGAAAUGCGCAUCAAGCUGGAU